UACGUAGGGGGCGAGCGUUGUCCGAAGUUACUGGGCGUAAAGCGUGCGCAGGCGGCUUCGCAAGUCAGGCGUGAAAUCCCCGGGCUUAACCUGGGAAUGGCGUCUGAAACUACGGAGCUGGAGUGUGGCAGAGGGAGGUAGAAUUCCACGUGUAGCGGUGAAAUGCGUAGAUAUGUGGAGGAAUACCGAUGGCGAAGGCAGCCUCCUGGGCCAACACUGACGCUCAUGCACGAAAGCGUGGGGAGCAAACAGG
rnacentral:rRNA from 1 species